AGCAGCCGCGGUAAUUCCAGCUCCAAUAGCGUAUAUUAAAGUUGUUGCAGUUAAAAAGCUCGUAGUUGAAUUUCGAGACCGGCUUACUGGUCGUGCUAUUGUACGUACUGGUAUAAUCGGUUUCUCCUUUCUGACGAACUAUAAUGCCAUUAAUUUGGUGUUUUAGGGAAUCAGGACUGUUACUUUGAAAAAAUUAGAGUGUUUAAAGCAGGCUCACGCUUGAAUACAUUAGCAUGGAAUAACGGAAUAGGACGUUUGAUUCUAUUUUGUUGGUUUCUAGGAUCGACGUAAUGAUUAAUAGGGAUAGUUGGGGGCAUUAGUAUUCAAUUGUCAGAGGUGAAAUUCUUGGAUUUAUUGAAGACUAACUACUGCGAAAGCAUUUGCCAAGGAUGUUUUCAUUAAUCAAGAACGAAAGUUAGGGGAUCGAAGACGAUCAGAUACCGUCGUAGUCUUAACCAUAAACUAUGCCGACUAGGGAUCGGAUGAUGUUAAUUUUUAAUGACUCAUUCGGCGCCUUACG
rnacentral:rRNA from 1 species